rnacentral:rRNA from 1 species
UCCGUAGGUGGAUAAUUAAGUCAGUGGUGAAAUCCUGCAGCUCAACUGUAGAAUUGCCUUUGAAACUGGUUAUCUUGAGUUAUUAUGAAGUAGUUAGAAUAUGUAGUGUAGCGGUGAAAUGCAUAGAUAUUACGUAGAAUACCAAUUGCGAAGGCAGAUUACUAAUAAUCAACUGACACUGAUGGACGAAAGCGUGGGGAGCGAACAGGAUUAGAUACCCUGGUAGUCC